rnacentral:lncRNA from 1 species
AGUCAAUAAACUCUUUUCCCUCUAAACAGUUUUGCAAUGACCUGAAAAGAUGAUAGUCAGCUGGAUGAAUGUCAGGAAAAAUAAGGAUGGAUUAGGCAAAACUUCCAUAUUUAGUGCCAUAACCUCUUCCUGAGUGACUUACACAAUAUAUUGUGUUGAUUUAUCAUGUGAGAGCAUCACCCCUUUAUGACUGACCAACAAUGGAAACAUUUGCUGCAAACAUUUUGUGAUACUUUCAAUUGCUUUGGUUUAAUGCUUAGUGAUAGAGGACACCCUUUGUAUUCCACCAAACACAAACCAUAAUUUUUUUUUUUUUUUUGUGAAGUGUGAUGCUAGUGUGGAGAUGGAUUCUCCUUUAUCGUUGACUUAUGAGUAUUAUUAUCUCCCUUGGACGUCAUUAUAGAGAUCCCACUUUUCAUUGCUUUUGGAAGUGAUCACGUCAAAAAUGGGACACAACGGAUCAAUGGAUUGAUAAACAAACGUAUUCAUAUAUAUAUUAAUGCAUACACAUAGACAAGAAGAUUGAUUGACUGAUUGAUUAACUGACUCAAAAUAUACAUGCAUAUAGUACACAGUGAAACUGCAGCUAAGGAUAUUAAAGCCAUUUCAUUGUCGUAAGAUACGAAGCUGUGGCUAAAUAUGAUAGAAGAUAUAAGAAGGUCAACGUUCGAAAUUUAAGCGUACGAAACUGUAGACAGUCCUGUCCGAAAAAAUGCUUGUGUUUGUUUGGGUAAGAAGUACAACUUUCGGAUUAUCUGCUUAAGGCUGAAAACGUUGCAGGUUUUUGAGAAAUCGUGGGAAUAUUAACAAGUCUAUGGUUGCUUUGUAGACCUUACAAUGGAAUUUGACCACAUGCCAAAGAAAAUGUUGUGGAAGAUUUUGCAGGAGUUGAGAUUAAAGACCAAUUCUGUUUGCUGUGAAGCCCCUAUAUAAAAAUCUAAUGACUCUUCCAGAAUAUUGGAUGAGAGUGCCUUAAAAGUAUCAUCAGUUUUUAUCUUCUAUUAAAGACACAAAAAAGAUGUUAUGCAGAACUAUUCUAACACUGUUUAUGUAAAUAUGUAGUGAAUUAGGAUGAAAUAUUUCUUCACAUCAUUUAUUAACAGCCUAUGUUUACUUCAUUGUCUGAGCUGUUUACAUGAUCAAUUCACAAUCUUAGGGAAAAUUUCCAAAAAAAGUUUACAUCUUCACAAACUGUGAAGCAUAAAUAUAGCAGUAGAAUUAUUUCUUUGCAAGAAAAUAGAAAAUACAAAGCAGAACAGCAUCUGUACAUUGUGGUGAAAUACAAAGAAUUAUGGAGAAAGAAAUAUGUGAGAACCAGCAAAAAUGCAAAUCACAAUCAAAGGUGAUUGAUUUUCCUGCUGAGAAAUUGAAACUGAAAGGGACAAGUAACCUACCUACUCAAAAAUGUAAAAAUAGUAGAGAGAAAUACUAUCACUGUGAUAUCUGUGGUAAGUCAUUCUUUCGAAAGUAUGAGG